rnacentral:rRNA from 1 species
UACGGAGGGAGCUAGCGUUGUUCGGAAUUACUGGGCGUAAAGCGCACGUAGGCGGCUUUGUAAGUUAGAGGUGAAAGCCUGGAGCUCAACUCCAGAAUUGCCUUUAGGACUGCAUCGCUUGAAUCCAGGAGAGGUGAGUGGAAUUCCGAGUGUAGAGGUGAAAUUCGUAGAUAUUGGGAAGAACACCAGUGGCGAAGGCGGCUCACUGGCCCGUAACUGACGCUGAGGUGCGAAAGCGUGGGGAGCAAACAGG